UACGGAGGGGGCUAGCGUUGUUCGGAAUUACUGGGCGUAAAGCGCACGUAGGCGGCUUUGUAAGUUAGAGGUGAAAGCCCGGAGCUCAACUCCGGAAUUGCCUUUAAGACUGCAUCGCUAGAAUUGUGGAGAGGUAAGUGGAAUUCCGAGUGUAGAGGUGAAAUUCGUAGAUAUUCGGAGGAACACCAGUGGCGAAGGCGACUUACUGGACACAUAUUGACGCUGAGGUGCGAAAGCGUGGGGAGCAAACAGG
rnacentral:rRNA from 1 species